UCAAAUAUCAAAAUCAAAUAUAAUGUACUGUGGUAGUAUAAUACAGUCUGAAAUAUUAGUGACAGACUAAUUCAAUUAUUCAUUAUUUUGGUAAUUUCAAUCUAACUUCAUCAGAACCAGUCGACGCCUCCUCCAAAACCCCCCAAAAGCCAACUUAAUUUUUCCCAGAAUACAUUCGUGUAUCAAUUUCUCACAUACCCAUUUUUGAAUUUUUCAUGGUUUCUUCAUGAAACAUGUUUGAAUCCAGGCCAAAAAAUGUGUUAAGCUUAGGGGUUAUCCUUAUUCUGGUUUCCUUAUCCUCUGUUUCAUUACCAGUUGAGUCCCAAUGCAAGAAAGGGUCCGAUUCAUUCUAUGUUUGGCGGGGGACAGAUCUCUCUUACAUCGCACGGUUGUUCUCGGUUGUUACUAAUGAACUGUAAUACAUACCAAGAUUCUUAUGUAAUUGCUCUAUGCAAAUAACAUGUUGCUUCCUAAUGACAAGUAACAUCACUGUUGUCAAAGGCGCUCUUAAAGCGCACUUAAGCCCUAAAGCGAGGCUCAAAACAUGUUGAGCGCUUCGCCUCGCUUUAUGUGUGCUUCAGCAUCAUCAUCAAGGCUCUAAGACAUACUUUUCCUUGCUAAUGAGCCUUUCUUGAAAAGGUGACACUAGAUAAUUGAUAUUUCACUGUAUCGUAAUGUUUUACAAUUUCUUUGUCCAUAUAUUUGUUAUUCAUGCUUAUUAUUAUUAGUCUUGGACUAAACAUAUAUAUAUAUAUAUAUAUAUAUAUAUUUGUAUUUUUGCACCAUUGCGUCCUUUUUCAUUAAAGGCCACGCGUUAUUUGCGCUUUGCGCUUAAAGCCCCA